AUACAUAUUUUUGCAUUUUGAAGCACACAAUGCAUGUUAUAGCACCAGUCUGAAGUAAAUACUGGGGCAUCAUCUGCUACAGUGGAAUCCCUCUAUUGUUUGCUCCUUAUCUCAAAAGACUGGGAAAAAUUUUAGAUUUAAUUGACCUUGACUUCAUGCAAGACCUAAUGAACCAUCUCAAAGUACUUGUUUCUGAUGGUAGAAACUCAGGCAACAAUUCUAAGAAGUGUCCAAAAUUUUUAUUGUGACCGAACGUCUCCAAUGUUGUAUUGUUGCUUUUAAAGUGAUGAGGAGUAAUCUUGAUGCUCUGAAUGUUAAUUUGCAAGACUUCUUCGUCCAUCUUUACAGUCUUAUACUUGAAUACAGGCCUGGAAGGUAAAGGAGCUUCUAGACUGGCUUGAGCUUCCAGUGAGUGUGAUCAUCGGGUGUGUGGAGUUGCGGUGGCCCGUAGCCAUUGCAAAGCAAAGGAAUAUUUCGGCGGUUGUAUUUUUGACUAUGUCAGCGUCAUUUUACAUAAUGUUGCAUCACCGCAUGUGUUUACACAACAACAAAAUUUGUUGGCUACUACUCUAGGUUCAUAAGGCAAGUAUUGGAUGGAAAAAGUGAAGAAAAAAGCAUGCAAAGUGGAGAAUUCAUGAGGAAAUGAGGAUUUGCUAAAUUGAAGGCCACGCGCACCCGUCACCCCACGCGUACGCGUGAGGAGGGAAUUUGACAAGUGAUGCGCACGUGUCGACCACGCACAUGCGUGACACUGAUCACGUGACCUCAUUAAAGGCAAUACGCUGGAGGCAAUUUCUGAGCCAACAAGGCCCAAAUCCAACUCAUUUCUGAGGCUAUUUGAUGCAGAAUUGAAGAUGGGACAAAGGGGGAGCAAUUAGUUAGGUUAGAAUCAUGCUUUAGGUAGUUUUCUAGAGAGAGAAGCUCCCUCUUCUCUCUAUAAUUAGGGUAGAUUUAGGGUAGAUUCUUCUUAGACUUAGGUUUAAUUCUUGUUUUCAUCUACUUUUUCUUGCAAUU